rnacentral:rRNA from 1 species
CCUACGGGAGGCUGCAGUCGAGAAUCAUUCACAAUGGGGGAAACCCUGAUGGUGCGACGCCGCGUGGGGGAAUGAAGGUCUUCGGAUUGUAAACCCCUGUCAUGUGGGAGCAAAUUAAAAAGAUAGUACCACAAGAGGAAGAGACGGCUAACUCUGUGCCAGCAGCCGCGGUAAUACAGAGGUCUCAAGCGUUGUUCGGAAUCACUGGGCGUAAGGCGUGCGUAGGCUGUUUCGUAAGUCGUGUGUGAAAGGCGCGGGCUCAACCCGCGGACGGCACAUGAUACUGCUAGACUAGAGUAAUGGAGGGGGAACCGGAAUUCUCGGUGUAGCAGUGAAAUGCGUAGAUAUCGAGAGGAACACUCGUGGCGAAGGCGGGUUCCUGGACAUUAACUGACGCUGAGGCACGAAGGCCAGGGGAGCGAAAGGGAUUAGAUACCCGUGUAGUC